AUUUUGCCGAAGAAGAAGGCCUCAACGACGGCCGAUUCUGCUGUGUACGGUGGGCUUCAAUCUUGUAGCCUUAUAUCUCCUCGCAUUAGUUGAUUCAUGAGAGAUUUUCUUCAUUUGGGGUGAGGCGGCUGAGAGUGAAAUAGCGGUAGGGUUUGAUGCAUUUGGGGCCGGUUCAAGAGUCUAGACCCGUUUAUUUCUUUUCUUGGACACGUCAGCGUGUAACCCAGCAAGUCAAGCGACAAAUACGUGUAGCGGGAUUGUUAUUGUUCUUACCUUUUUUCUCUCGAUUGUACAAUUUCUUUUUUCGUUUCUUGUUUCAAUUGGAUAAGAAUUGUUAUUUGUGCAAUCGAGAUAAAAAAUUCAAGGAU
rnacentral:lncRNA from 1 species